rnacentral:rRNA from 1 species
UACGGAGGGUGCGAGCGUUGUCCGGAAUCACUGGGCGUAAAGAGCUCGUAGGCGGUUUGUUGCGUCGGCUGUGAAAUCCCGAGGCUCAACCUCGGGUCUGCAGUCGAUACGAGCAAACUAGAGUGUUGCAGGGGAGACUGGAAUUCCUGGUGUAGCGGUGAAAUGCGCAGAUAUCAGGAGGAACACCGGUGGCGAAGGCGGGUCUCUGGGCAACAACUGACGCUGAGGAGCGAAAGCGUGGGGAGCGAACAGG